GACGAACCGUCCAAACGUUAUUCGGAAUCACUGGGCUUAAAGGGUGCGUAGGCGGUCUGGUACGUUGGGUGCGAAAUCCCUCGGCUCAACCGAGGAAUAGCGCCCAAUACUGCCGGACUUGAGGGAGGCAGAGGUAAGCGGAACUUGCGGUGGAGCGGUGAAAUGCAUUGAUAUCGCAGGGAACACCAGUGGCGAAGGCGGCUUACUGGGCCUUCUCUGACGCUGAGGCACGAAAGCUAGGGGAGCGAACGGGAUUAGAUACCCCGGUAGUCCUAGCUGUAAACUCUGAGCACUGGGUCGAGGAGUACUCCAUAGCUUCUUGGCCGUAGCGAAAGUGUUAAGUGCUCCGCCUGGGGAGUAUGGUCGCAAGGCUGAA
rnacentral:rRNA from 1 species